UCCUCACCGGCUGCGUCACUGGUCUGUUCGGCACCACUGCAGCGUUUUUAUGAAAGAUAAACACUCCAAAACAAAAAGAUGAUGACACUAUUUGUCCACAAUUUAUCCCUCAUUAGAACCCGCACGGCAACCUGGACAAACACACGCGCAGGGGCUCUUAAAGGAAAACAUUGAGAUAACAGCUGCCAGGGCCCCAGGGAGAGCAAGAGGAGGGAGAAAAGAGGUCAAACAGUAAAGAGAGCAGGAAUCCAAGAGGAGAUGUUUCAACAUACCCGUUGUAAAGCAGCACCCACACAGCUUUUCCUGAGCGGGGGUAGGCCACGCAGUAGUGCACCAGCAGCACUAAACUGGGAUCUGGAGAGUUGAGGAGCCGCACUUCCAGAUAGAGAGGUU